rnacentral:rRNA from 1 species
AGAGUUUGAUCCUGGCUCAGGAUGAACGCUGGCGGCGUGCCUAAUACAUGCAAGUCGAGCGAGAAAGGUGUGACACUUCGGUUGAACACCGAGUAAAGCGGCGGACGGGUGAGUAACACGUAGGUGACCUGCCCUGAGGAGGGGGACAACCGGUGGAAACAGCGGCUAAUACCCCAUAAGCUCACGAUGAUUAGAAAGUUGUGAGAAAAGCUCCGGCACCUCAGGAGGGGCCUGCGGACCAUCAGCUGGUUGGUAAGGUAAAGGCUUACCAAGGCUAAGACGGAUAGGGGACCUGAGAGGGUGACCCCCCACACGGGAACUGAGACACGGUCCCGACUCCUACGGGAGGCAGCAGUAAGGAAUAUUGCACAAUGGGCGAAAGCCUGAUGCAGCAACGCCGCGUGCACGAUGAAGGCCUUCGGGUUGUAAAGUGCUUUUCUGGCUGAAGAGGAAGGACAGUAGGCCAGGAAUAAGAGUCGGCUAACUACGUGCCAGCAGCCGCGGUAAAACGUAGGACUCGAGCGUUAUCCGGAUUUACUGGGCGUAAAGAGCAGGUAGGCGGCAUUCUAAGUCGGACGUGAAAGCUCCUGGCUUAACCGGGAGAGGCCGUUCGAAACUAGGAAGCUGGAGGGUGGUAGAGGCGUGUGGAAUUCCGGGUGGAGUGGUGAAAUGCGUAGAGAUCCGGAGGAACACCAGAGGCGAAGGCGGCACGCUGGGCCAAACCUGACGCUGAGCUGCGAAAGCGUGGGGAGCGAACGGGAUUAGAAACCCCGGUAGUCCACGCCGUAAACGAUGUCGACUAGAUGUUGGGGGGAAACACCUCAGCGUCGGAGCAAACGCAAUAAGUCGACCGCCGGGGGGGUACGGCCGCAAGGCUAAAACUCAAAGGAAUUGACGGGGGCCCGCACAAGCUGCGGAGCGUGUGGUUUAAUUCGAGACAACGCGAAGAACCUUACCUGGGUUUGACAUAAUGGUGGUAGGGAAGAGAAAUCGGACCGACCUUCGGGAGCCAUUACAGGUGCUGCAUGGCUGUCGUCAGCUCGUGCCGUGAGGUGUUAGGUUAAGUCCUGUAACGAGCGCAACCCUUACUGCUAGUUACAAGUGUCUAGCGGGACUGCCGGUGACAAACCGGAGGAAGGUGGGGAUGACGUCAAGUCAGCAUGGCCUUUAUAUCCAGGGCGACACACACGCUACAAUGGCUGGUACAAUGGGCAGCGAAACCGCGAGGUGAAGCGAAUCUCCCAAAGCCAGUCUUAGUUCGGAUUGCAGUCUGCAACUCGACUGCAUGAAGGUGGAGUUGCUAGUAACCGUGGGUCAGCCACACUACGGUGAAUACGUUCCCGGGCCUUGUACACACCGCCCGUCACGUCAUGGAAGCUGGUAAUGCCUGAAGUCGUUGAGCCAACCUACCGGAGGCAGACGCCGAAGGCAGGACCGGUAACUGGGACGAAGUCGUAACAAGGUA